rnacentral:rRNA from 1 species
GAGUUUGAUCCUGGCUCAGAACGAACGCUGGCGGCGCGCCUAACACAUGCAAGUCGAACGCGCGAUUUUUCUGUAGCAAUACAGAAAGAAAGCGAGUGGCGGACGGGUGAGUAACACGUGGAUAAUCUAUCCUCGAGUGGGGAAUAACCAGCCGAAAGGUUGGCUAAUACCGCAGAUGUUGUCAGGACAUAAGUCUUGGGAACUAAAGGUGGGGCAACCUACCGCUCGAAGAGGAGUCCACGUCCCAUUAGCUAGUUGGUGGGGUAAUGGCCUACCAAGGCGACGAUGGGUAGCUGGUCUGAGAGGACGAUCAGCCACAGUGGCACUGAGACACGGGCCACACUCCUACGGGAGGCAGCAGUGGGGAAUCUUCCGCGAUGGGCGAAAGCCUGACGGAGCGACGCCGCGUGAGGGAUGAAGGCCUUCGGGUUGUAAACCUCUUUUCUGCGGGAGGAAUAAGUCGUGUUUAACUGACGCGAUGAUGACGUUACUGCAGGAAUAAGCCCCGGCUAAUCUUACGUGCCAGCAGCCGCGGUAAUACGUAAGGGGCGAGCGUUGUUCGGAUUGACUGGGUGUAAAGGGUCCGCAGGUGGCCCUGUAAGUCAGGAGUGAAAUCCCGGAGCUCAACUCCGGAACGUCUUUUGAUACUGCGGGGCUUGAGUACGAGAGAGGCAAGUGGAAUUCCUGGUGUAGCGGUGAAAUGCGUAGAGAUCAGGAGGAACACCGGAGGCGAAGGCGGCUUGCUGGCUCGUGACUGACACUCAUGGACGAAGGCGUGGGGAGCAAACAGGAUUAGAUACCCUGGUAGUCCACGCAGUAAACGAUGCAGACUAGGUGUGGGAGGUAUCGACCCCUUCUGUGCCGAAGCAAACGCAUUAAGUCUGUCACCUGGGGAGUACGGUCGCAGACUGAAACUCAAAGGAAUUGACGGGGCCGCACAAGCGGUGGAGCAUG